CACUUGUCGGAAGGCGGGCGUACUUGGACCGUAACUUACGUUUGAGGGCUCGAAAGAGUGGGGGAGCAAAACACGAUUAGAUACCCCUGGUAGUUCCACGCCCGUAAACGAUGAUUACUAGGUGUCGGGGGGGGCAAGGUCCUCUGGUGCCGGCGCAAACGCAUUAAGUAAUCCACCUGGGGAGUACGUUCGCAAGAAUGAAACUCAAAGGAAUUGACGGGGAGCCGCACAAGCGGUGGAGCAUGUGGUUUAAUUUGAAGCAACGCGAAGAACCUUACCUGGUCUUGACAUCCGGACGCCGUAUGGGCAAAACCAUAUUUCUUUCGGGACGUCCGAGACAGGUGGUGCAUGGUUGUCGUCAGCUCGUGUCGUGAGAUGUUGGGUUAAGUCCCGCAACGAGCGCAACCCCCGUUUCCAGUAGCCGGCAUAUAAAGAUGGGCACUCUGGAGAGACUGCCCGGGAUAACCGGGAGGAAGGCGGGGAGGACGUCAAAUCAUCAUGCCCCUUAUGAUCAGGGGUACACACGUGCUACAAUGGCGUAAACAAAGGGAAGCGAGACGGUGACGUUGAGCAAAUCCCAGAAAUAAAGUCCCAGUUCGGAUUGUAGUUUGCAACCCGACUACAUGAAGCUGGAAUCGCUAGUAAUCGCGAAUCAGAAAGUCGCGGUGAAUACGUUCCCGGGUCUUGUACACACCGCCCGUCA
rnacentral:rRNA from 1 species